AUGUCGACCAUUCAGUAUCAGGGAGACUGAGUGCUCAGUGGUAUACUACGUACGAAGAAUAAAGACUCACUUAACCUACAUAGCUAAAGAGUGAAUGAAACAAGUAUAAAAACACUUUGAGAAAAUGAUUUGUGUUGAUUUUUUAGCUAAAUGUUUCAUUAUGAGCUUCUUGCCAUUCCAGUUUACUUAACCAAUCAUUGGAUAGAAGUUAUUAUAGAUAUAUUUCAUUAAGCCUUUCUUGUCUUUGACUCGCUUGGAAAGAAGCACGAACAAGUUGUUUUUGACUUGAAACUGUGGAUUACGGAUGUGUACCGUUUAGUCAAUGGAUCGACUCUAGAUGUAACCGACUCGUCGUUGAUAUACCCAAUACCUCAAAAUUACCCGCAACA